rnacentral:rRNA from 1 species
AGUGGGGAAUUUUGGACAAUGGGGGCAACCCUGAUCCAGCCAUGCCGCGUGCGGGAAGAAGGCCUUCGGGUUGUAAACCGCUUUUGUCAGGGAAGAAACGGUCUAAUUUAAUACAUUGGAUUAAUGACGGUACCUGAAGAAUAAGCACCGGCUAACUACGUGCCAGCAGCCGCGGUAAUACGUAGGGUGCAAGCGUUAAUCGGAAUUACUGGGCGUAAAGCGUGCGCAGGCCGCUAUGUAAGACAGAUGUGAAAUCCCUGGGCUCAACCUGGGAACUGCAUUUGUGACUGCAUGGCUAGAGUACGGCAGAGGGGGAUGGAAUUCCGCGUGUAGCAGUGAAAUGCGUAGAUAUGCGGAGGAACACCGAUGGCGAAGGCAAUCCCCUGGGCCUGUACUGACGCUCAUGCACGAAAGCGUGGGGAGCAAA